UUUAGAGAUAGAGGAGUGCUCGAAAGAGAGCCGUAACACAGGUGCUGCGUGGCUGUCGUCAGCUCGUGUCGUGAGAUGUUGGGUUAAGUCCCGCAACGAGCGCAACCCUUGUCAUUAGUUGCUACAUUCAGUUGGGCACUCUAAUGAGACUGCCGGUGACAAACCGGAGGAAGGUGGGGAUGACGUCAAGUCCUCAUGGCCCUUAUAGGUGGGGCUACACACGUCAUACAAUGGAUGGUACAAAGGGUCGCCAACCCGCGAGGGGGAGCCAAUCCCAUAAAGCCAUUCGUAGUCCGGAUCGCAGUCUGCAACUCGACUGCGUGAAGUCGGAAUCGCUAGUAAUCGUGGAUCAGAAUGUCACGGUGAAUACGUUCCCGGGUCUU
rnacentral:rRNA from 1 species